rnacentral:sRNA from 1 species
AUAAAACACUAACCAACCUUCUUCUUGCUUCCAAAAGCUUCGAUGGUGUAGCCGAAGUCCGUAUGAGUCUUUGGCUUUGUAUCUUCUAGCAUGGAAACACAACUUUAGCUUUAGGGAUUCGGUUGCGGUUCUAGUUCUUAUACGCAAUCAAAUACAUGACAUCUAGUCAUAUUUGACUCCAAAACACUAACCAAUAUUCUUCUUGCUUCUCAAAUAUUUGAAGGUGUAGCCGAAAUCCGUAUGAGUCUUUGGCUUUGUAUCUUCUAACAAGGAAACACUACUUAGCUUUUAAGAUCCGGUUGCUGUUCUAGUUUUUAUACUCAAUCAUACACAUGAUAUCAAGUCAUAUUCGACUCCAAAACACUAACCAAGCUUCUUCUUGCUUCUCAAAGCUUUGAUGGUGUAGCCAAAGUCCAUAUGAGUCUUUGGCUUUGUAUCUU